GGSGUGCCUAAUACAUGCAAGUCGAGCGAAUCUGAUGGGAGCUUGCUCCCUGAUGAUUAGCGGCGGACGGGUGAGUAACACGUGGGUAACCUGCCUGUAAGACUGGGAUAACUCCGGGAAACCGGGGCUAAUACCGGAUAACUUUUUUCUUCGCAUGARGGAGAAUUGAAAGAUGGCYUCGGCUAUCACUUACAGAUGGACCCGCGGCGCAUUAGCUAGUUGGUGAGGUAACGGCUCACCAAGGCGACGAUGCGUAGCCGACUUGAGAGGGUGAUCGGCCACACUGGGACUGAGACACGGCCCAGACUCCUACGGGAGGCAGCAGUAGGGAAUCUUCCGCAAUGGACGAAAGUCUGACGGAGCAACGCCGCGUGAGUGAUGAAGGUUUUCGGAUCGUAAAACUYUGUUGUUAGGGAARAACAAGUWUCGUUCGAAUAGGGSGGUACCUUGACGGUACCUAACCAGAAAGCCACGGCUAA
rnacentral:rRNA from 2 species